GCCCAGUGUAUUAUGUUUGCUAGCCUAGGAAAGUUAUAUAUAACUCAUGUAAAGGACACCUUUUGAUUAAGCAAGAUCAAUCUAUUCUGACCGGCUCCUAGAAGGAGCCGGUGCCCUAACCCUAGCGUCCGAGCUCUCUCUCCUAACCACGGCGCCCUAGCGUCGUCGCCCGCCUCUUUUGCCUCGCCAACCCUCCCCGCACCCAUAUCACUUGAGAGAUCGGCCUGGUAGGCAUUGGAAUCCUACCAAUUUGGUAUCAGAUUGCCCCGGCUUGAUCAUGUCGACACCCCACCCACCCCAGCCUUUCGUCGGCUACCAGCCUAUCACCCGUUUGUUGCUGGCCUCCUCGGUCGCCGCAUCGGGCCGCCUACUACGACCGCCAGGCCCCCGCCGAACCCGACCGGUCUCGUCCUCUCCCCUGCGGAGAUGACAUCUGCGCUCUUGGAGCUCGGCCACGUCGUCGUGGGCAUCCGCGCGCUGCUCGUGGGGCCUUACGCGCAGCAGCCGGCUGCUGCGUUCUUCCCCACCAUCGCGCCGCCUCCAUUCCCCUCGGCCGCGCCGCACCAGGGCACCACCUCGCAGUCAAGCGGGCCACCGCCACUUCCGGGCGCGCCAUCCAGGCGGUGCGGUUUCAGCCGUCACCAUCUCCGCUGCCGGCGUGGCUAACCAAGCCGGUCUACACGGUUGGGUCGGGUCAGCCCUCCUUCCCACCGCCGGCCGCGGUGCAGCCGGCAGGGCCACUCGCGGGUUCCUCGGGGACGGUGGGUCCCUACACCAGCGUGGACGGACCCUUGUUCCACAGCGGGAUGCUGCAGCCCGCCCUCCCGGUUCCGUCAUCAACAAUGUUCCGCACCGUGGAGCCACCGAUAGCCGCCAGCUACGGCCACCACCCGUCACGUUUCUUCAAGUUGGAGUUCGCCACCUACGAUGGGUCCGGGGACCCCCUGAAUUGGCUCAACCAGUGCGACCCGUUUUUCAGUGGGCAACGCACGCUUGCGUCCGACCGCACCUUGAUCGCCUCGUACCACCUUCGCGGCACCACCCAGACGUGGUACUACACCCUCGAACACGACGAGCGCGGGAUGUCGUCGUGGGAACAUUUUCACGACCUCUACCUCCUCCGGUUCGGUCUACCCGUCCACGAUAGCCGAAUGGCGGAACUUGGAUGCCUUCCGUUCCUCUCCUCGGUGUAGGAUUUUGCCGACCGCUUCCAUGCGUUGGUCUGCCAUGCUCCUGGCGUCUCGGCCCUCCAACGGUCCGAGCUCUUUGUCGGCGGCCUUCACCACCAUAUCCGCAUGGACGUCAAGAUGUGGGGACCGCAUGACCUCCAGACGGCCAUGUACUAUGCCCGUGUGUUCGAGCAACGGGCGGUGGCCAUGCAACAGGCGUUCCCGGCCCGGGCACCUCGCCCACCCCCUCGACCGGCCAUGUCUACAGCUAGCCGGCCGGCCCAGCUGGCGCCAGGGACUCCCGCCAGGGCAAUGACUCAGCCGUUCCGCCGGCUCAUCCUGGCCGAACAACUCGAGCGUCACCGACAGGGGUUAUGCUUCAACUGCGACGAGCUCUACGUGCCAGGUCACGUCUGCCCGCGCCUCUUCUACCUGGAGGCGGACGACUACAUCGAGAAGGAAACAACUUCCCCCGAGCUUGCCGAGGCGACUGCCCCGGCAUCAGCCACCGCCCACGUGGUCUCCCUCCAUGCCCUUGCCGGCAUACAAGUGAAGAAAAUGAUGCUACUGCCAGUGACGGUUAAUGGGGAGCGCCUCCUAGCUCUACUGGACAUGGGCUCUACACACAACUUCCUGUCCGAGUCUACUAUACGUCGCCUGGCCCUUCAGCCAACGGGCGGCGAGCAGCCCGAGUUACCGUAGCUAAUGAUGACCGUCUCCGCUGCCACGGAAUUGCACAACAGGUUCCCAUCAUCAUCGGCGACGAGCACUUCGCCAUCACGUGCGUCGGCAUCGACUUGGGCUGCCUCGACUUCAUCCUCGGCUUCGACUUCUUGCAGACGCUCGGACCCAUCGUUUGGGACUUCGACACACUGACCAUGACUUUUUGGCGUCAGGGGCGUGAAGUGCAGUGGAAGGGCGAGGGUGGCACUUCUCCAGCAGUUCCCGCCCAGUUGUUGACCGUCGUGGCCGACUCCGAGCCGCCCGUCUUGACUCAUCUCCUACAGCAGCACAACGACCUUUUCGACGAGCCUCAGGGUCUUCCGCCCACCCGGGUGUGCGACCAUCGCGUUCACCUUCUCCCGGGGAUAGCACCGGUCGUUGUACGACCAUACCGCUAGCCACAGCUGCAGAAGGACGAGCUGGAACGGCAGUGCGCGCUUAUGCUUGCCUUGGGCAUCAUCCAGAUUUCUACUUCGCCGUUCUCGGCCCCAGUGCUCCUUGUUCACAAGCCCGACGACUCGAGGCGUUUCUUGCACCGAUUACCGUGCUCUCAAUACCAAGACGUCGACGGAAAAUUUCCUAUACCGGUCGUGGAGGAGCUCCUGGACGAGCUGCAUGGGGCACGCUUCUUCACUAACUCGACUUGCGUUCUCACUAUCAUCAGGUUCGGAUGCACCCGGACGACAUUGCGAAGACGACCUUCCGCACCCAUCAUGGCCACUUCGAGUUUUUGGUGAUGCCCUUCGGUCUCUAUAAUGCGUCGGCAACAUUCCACGCCUUGAUGAACGACGUCCUUCGGCCCUACUUGCAACGGUUUGUGCUCGUUUUCUUUGAUGAUAUUCUCAUCUACAACUCCUCGUGGGCAGAGCACUUGCAACACGUCGCCACCAUCUUCAACGAGCUUCGAGCGCAUCAACUCCACCUCAAGCGCCCGAAGUGCUCGUUUGGCACGCCAUCCGUCGCAUAUUUCGGCCACGUCAUUUCAGCGGAGGGAGUUGCCAUGGAUGCCCAUAAGAUCACAGCAGUCAUGUCUCAGCCGACACCGCAUUCACCGCGGGCCCUCCGCGGGUUCUUAGGUCUAGCCGGAUGCUACCGGAAGUUUAUCCGGGUGUUCGGCCUUCUCGCUGCACCACUCACACGACUGCUGCGCCGUGACGCCUUCUCCUGGGAUGAGGAGGUAGCUACCACCUUCCAGUCGCUCAAGGCGACUCUUCCCACAGGGCCGAUCCUUCAGAUGCCGGAUUUUGAGCAACAUUUCAUGGUUGACGGCCGCGGAUGCUCAACUUCUUCGGCAGCGGCUUGCGGAGGGAGAUUUACCGGUGUCAUGGCGACUGAAUGAUGGAUUACUCCUCCACGGUCGACGACUCUUUGUGCCCGAGCAUGGCGGUCUCCGUCACUAGGCUCUUCGGUUGGCUCACUUAGCCGACCAUGAGGGGGUGCAGAAAACUCUCCACCGCCUGUGUGCCGACUUCUAUCUGCCCGGAGACCGAGCUUUGGUGCGUGACUGGGUGUGUUCUUGUGUGACGUGCCAACGCAACAAGACACAAACGUUGCAGUCGGCCGACCUCCUACAUCCCCUUGCGGUGCCUUCGCAGGUGUGGGCCGACAUCUCCAUGGAUUUUAUCAAGGGACUUCCUAAGGCUUUGUUUGGUAGAAGUAGAUUGGGAAGGUUUGGGGAGGAGGGGAUUUGAGGGGAUUUGGUGAAUCCCUUCCUUGCACCCAAUCCUCUCAAAUCCUCGGGGUUUUGCUUCCACCACUCCCUCGAGGAGGAUCCUGAAACACAUGGAUAGGAAGGGAUUGAAGGGGAUCGGAGGGGAUUCGACUAAGCAAACCCCUCUUACCAAAUGAGCGCCCGAGGUUCUGUGGGGUUUCUGACCCUCCCGGGGAUUUUCCUGUGGAAACCUCCUGAAUCCCUCCGUGGAAAACGAGGCCUAAGGUGGGCGGCAAGUCCGUCAUCCUUACGGUGGUGGACCUUUCUCCAAGUAUGCACACUUUAUCGCGCUGGGUCAUCCCUACACCGCCACUUCCGUGGCCCGGGCUUUCUUCGACGACAUCGUCAGCCUUCACGGGUUUCCUUCUUCGAUCGUCAGCGACCGUGAUCCGGUGUUCGCUGGCCAUGUUUGGCGGGAUCUUUUCCGGUUGGCAGGCGUCCAGUUGCGCUUGAGCACGGCUUUUCAUCCCCAGACCGACGGACAAUCAGAGGUCGUCAAUAAGGUGAUUGUUAUGUACUUACGUUGCAUUACAGGUGAUCGACCAAGAGCUUGGGUGGAUUGUCUCUCGUGGGCGGAAUACUGCUACAACACUUCAUACCACUCCGCCAUGCAUGCCACCCCCUUUGAGGUCGUCUACGGUCGGCCUCCUCCAGCCAUCCUGCCUUUCCAGCCACGAACGACGCGAACUAAGGCGGCAGAAGUACUUCUACGAGACCGCGAUGUCAUCCUUGCUGACGUGCGACAACGUCUUCUUCAGGCACAUCAGCUGUCCAAGAAGUACUAUGAUGCUCACCACCGCGAGGCCGAGUUUGCCGUGGGUGAUUGGGUGUGGCUGCGUAUUCUCCAUCGUUCUACGCAGUCACUUGAUCCUCUCGCUAUGCGGGACCCUUUCACGUGUUGGAACGCAUCGACAGUGUCGCCUACCGCCUUCAGCUGCCCCCUGGAGCUCGUCUCCACGAUGUCUUUCAUGUAGGCUUAUUGAAGCCUUUCCAUGGGGAGCCGCCGGCGGCCGGACCAGAUCUUCCGCCGACUUCAGAUGGGCGCUUACUUCCUGAUCCAGCCAAGGUGUUGAAGGUUCACAAAAGUGGUGGUGUACGGCGUCUCUUGAUCCAGUGACAAGGUCUUUCGGAAGAGGAUGCUACUUGGGAGACCUUUGAGGAGUUCCGCAAACAUUUUCCACACUUCCAGCUCGAGGACGAGCUGUUUGCGCACGCAGGGAGAGAUGUUAUGACUGGUUUAUAUUACAACCGGAGAAGGCCCACUUAAAUAGAGUUGGCCAAGUUAUCUUAUAGUAUUAGGGGCUUAGAACAAUUUAUUAUGUUUGCUGGUCUAGGAAAGUUAUAUAUACUCAUGUAAAGGACACCUUUUGAUUAAGCAAGAUCAAUCUAUUCUGAUCGGCUCCUAGAAGAAGCCGGUGCCCUAACCCUAGCGUCCGAGCUCUCUCUCCCAGCCAUGGCGCCCCAGCGCCGUCGCCCGCCUCUUCCGCCUUGUCAACCCUCCCAACACCCAUGUCGCCUGCGAUAUCGGCCUG
rnacentral:lncRNA from 1 species